rnacentral:rRNA from 1 species
UACAGAGGGUGCGAGCGUUAAUCGGAAUUACUGGGCGUAAAGCGCGCGUAGGCGGCUUUGCAAGUCGGGUGUGAAAUCCCCAGGCUUAACCUGGGAACUGCAUUCGAGACUGAAUAGCUAGGGUACGGUAGAGGGAAGCGGAAUUUCCGAGUGUAGCGGUGAAAUGCGUAGAUAUCGGAAGGAACAUCAGUGGCGAAAGCGGCUUCCUGGACCAGUACCGACGUCAGGCACGAAAGCGUGGGGAGCAAACAGG